AGGCGACGACGGGUAGCCGGCCUGAGAGGGUGACCGGCCACACUGGGACUGAGACACGGCCCAGACUCCUACGGGAGGCAGCAGUGGGGAAUAUUGCACAAUGGGCGCAAGCCUGAUGCAGCGACGCCGCGUGAGGGAUGACGGCCUUCGGGUUGUAAACCUCUUUCAGUAGGGAAGAAGCGAAAGUGACGGUACCUGCAGAAGAAGCGCCGGCUAACUACGUGCCAGCAGCCGCGGUAAUACGUAGGGCGCAAGCGUUAUCCGGAAUUAUUGGGCGUAAAGAGCUCGUAGGCGGUUUGUCGCGUCUGCCGUGAAAGUCCGGGGCUCAACUCCGGAUCUGCGGUGGGUACGGGCAGACUAGAGUGAUGUAGGGGAGACUGGAAUUCCUGGUGUAGCGGUGAAAUGCGCAGAUAUCAGGAGGAACACCGAUGGCGAAGGCAGGUCUCUGGGCAUUAACUGACGCUGAGGAGCGAAAGCAUGGGGAGCGAACAGGAUUAGAUACCCUGGUAGUCCAUGCCGUAAACGUUGGGCACUAGGUGUGGGGGACAUUCCACGUUUUCCGCGCCGUAGCUAACGCAUUAAGUGCCCCGCCUGGGGAGUACGG
rnacentral:rRNA from 2 species